rnacentral:rRNA from 1 species
CCUACGGGAGGCAGCAGUGAGGAAUAUUGGUCAAUGGACGCAAGUCUGAACCAGCCAUGCCGCGUGCAGGAAGACGGCUCUAUGAGUUGUAAACUGCUUUUGUACGGGGGUAAACGCAGAUACGCGUAUCUGUCUGAAAGUAUCGUACGAAUAAGGAUCGGCUAACUCCGUGCCAGCAGCCGCGGUAAUACGGAGGAUUCAAGCGUUAUCCGGAUUUAUUGGGUUUAAAGGGUGCGUAGGCGGGCGGAUAAGUUAGAGGUGAAAUCCCGAGGCUCAAUUUCGGAAUUGCCUUUGAUACUGUGCGGCUAGAGAGUAGUAGAGGUAGGCGGAAUGUACGGUGUAGCGGUGAAAUGCUUAGAGAUCAUGCAGAACACCGAUUGCGAAGGCAGCUUACCAGGCUACUUCUGACGUUGAGGCACGAAAGCGUGGGGAGCAAACAGGAUUAGAUACCCUUGUAGUC